AAAGUACUCCCUCCGUCCCAAAAUUCUUGUCUUAGAUUUGUCUAGAUAUAGAUGUAUCAAGUCACAGAUACAUCCGUAUCUAGACAAAUCUAAGACAAGAAAUUUGGGACACAGGGAGUAGUUG
rnacentral:pre_miRNA from 1 species